rnacentral:rRNA from 1 species
ACACAUGCAAGUCGAGGGGCAGCAUGAUUGAAGCUUGCUUCAAUUGAUGGCGACCGGCGCACGGGUGAGUAACGCGUAUCCAACCUUCCGCUUACUCGGGGGUAGCCUUUCGAAAGAAAGAUUAAUACCCGAUGGUAUGAUGAGAUUGCAUGAUAGCAUCAUUAAAGAUUUAUUGGUAAGCGAUGGGGAUGCGUUCCAUUAGGUAGUAGGCGGGGUAACGGCCCACCUAGCCGACGAUGGAUAGGGGUUCUGAGAGGAAGGUCCCCCACAUUGGAACUGAGACACGGUCCAAACUCCUACGGGAGGCAGCAGUGAGGAAUAUUGGUCAAUGGACGAGAGUCUGAACCAGCCAAGUAGCGUGAAGGAUGAAGGUCCUACGGAUUGUAAACUUCUUUUAUAAGGGAAUAAAACCUCCCACGUGUGGGAGCUUGUAUGUACCUUAUGAAUAAGCAUCGGCUAACUCCGUGCCAGCAGCCGCGGUAAUACGGAGGAUGCGAGCGUUAUCCGGAUUUAUUGGGUUUAAAGGGAGCGCAGACGGGUCGUUAAGUCAGCUGUGAAAGUUUGGGGCUCAACCUUAAAAUUGCAGUUGAUACUGGCGUCCUUGAGUGCGGUUGAGGUGUGCGGAAUUCGUGGUGUAGCGGUGAAAUGCUUAGAUAUCACGAAGAACUCCGAUUGCGAAGGCAGCACACUAAGCCGUAACUGACGUUCAUGCUCGAAAGUGUGGGUAUCAAACAGGAUUAGAUACCCUGGUAGUCCACACGGUAAACGAUGGAUACUCGCUGU